AUUAGGAGAUAUACCUAAUGUAAAUGCCGAGUUAAUGGGUGCAGCACACCGACAUGGCACAUGUAUACAUAUGUAACAAACCUGCACAUUGUGCACAUGUACCCUAGAACUUAAAGUAUAAUAAAAAUAAAUAAAUAAAUAAAAGUAACUCAAGCUAAAAAAAAAAAAAAGCAACAAUAUAAGUCAUAUCACCAAGAGCUAAUUUCUUUAAUCUAUCGGAAGCUCCCACAUAUCAAUAAUAAAAACAGUAUAAUAGAAAAGUAGGCAGAGCAUAGGCACAGUCAGGUCUCAGAAAAAGAAUCACAAAUGAUUCAUUCCUAAGAAAAGAUGCCCAAACCCUAUAAUACAAGAAACGGAAAUUAAAAUCAAAGUAAAAUAACAUUUUCAUCUAUCAGAUAGACUUCAGCAGUAUUCUGUACUGUCAAGUGUAUAAGGAAACAGGCACACUAAACAUUGUUGGUGGAAGUAUUUAAUAUAUACUGACAUAACGUUAAUAGUGAACAAUUUGGAAAUAGGGAAGACGAUGUAUUUACAUUUAUAAACAUGUACUGCAGCACAGUGAUAAUAUCAAAAUUGGAAAAGACAGAGACUACUAAAGCAUGGUACAUGAAGUGAAUGGAAUGAAUGCUCUCUAGCCAUCACAAAGAAUGAGGCAGCCCUGUACCAAGUACCAAGUACUAAGAUGAAAUGAUCUUUUAGAUACCCCAUAGCAGUAUACUUUCUCCUUGCUAAAAGAACCCAGAUGUUGUUCAGUAACCAGACCAGGCAGUCAUGUGUUUUAAGAAAAGCUAGACUCUUCACUAGUCUCAUGGGAUGAAUAGUGACUGGUCUCAGCCAAUCAUCACCAACAACUAAUUCUGGGAAUGUAACUGUGCUGCAAUUCUGUUCAAUGAGAAAUAUGGCUAGGGAUUACUGGGAAAGUCUUCCUCACUCUUAAAAAGGGAUACAACAAAGAUACUUGCUUUUCGCCUGUGGACUCUGCCAGGUACGUGAGACACACGGAAGGGGAAAGACACCCGGGAAUCAUGUGGCGGGCAGCCUAGGAGAAAUAAAUAAGAAAGCAGAACAGAAAGAUUAAAGAACCCAGGCCUUGAUGAGGUUGCUGAGCCACUGAAUUAACCAAUCCAGAAAGCAUGCUAUCUCUGUAUUUCCAAGAGGUAACAGACGUCUCCAGCGGAAUAUCUCUGGAAGGAUACCCAGUAACUGGAAACAAUGGCAGCCUCUGAGGGUGGAGGAUGUGGUAAAAGUGAGACUUAUUUUUUCAUUAUGUACCUAUCUCCCUUGAUAUUUCAUGGGCAUUUAUUAUCUACUCCCAAAUAGAUGAUUUUUUAAAAUAAUACAUGCUUGCUUUCAAAUUUCCAAACAAGAAGCUAAGCACCAAAAUUUAAGAUAGUAAUUACCUCAUCUCCCUAUACUGAAUCUGCUCGUUUCAUCCCACUAAAUUUUAUGCAAUGGCAACCACACCUUAAAGGAUGCAAGCAUUUUCAUCCUAGGCAUUUCUAGGCCAUUGCCACAGAAAAAGCACUUUUUCCAAGCAUAAUGUAAGCAGAAAGUUGGCUCUACCACUUAGAGCCAACUUUAGUAAGGUAAUGGAGAAUAUCUAAUCCAAAAGUAUAGCCUCCUCACAAACAAUGAAGAUGAAUUCAAAGCUACCAACUGGGGAAAGUGCUUUCUAUAAACCAACACAAAAAUCUACAGAUUACCUAGAAAGAAUAACACUCUGCACAAAACUCAAACUGAAAACAUCCAAAAACUGAAUUAUUUACUGCACUUGUACCUGACCAAUGCCACCAUCUUACCAAAUCUGCCUCGUUUCCUCCUGGAUCUCCUAUUUUACUUAAUGGGGUCACUUCUACCCACCUCUUCAACCUAGAAAGUAGAACCUUUAUUCAUACUUUUUGGGAUCCCAAAAUACUUUUAAAGUAAUUUCUGUACGUGCUUAUAUUAAACCGUCACUCACUGGCCUGUGAGUCUGACUUUCCUUUUUGAUUGUGAGCUUCUGAUGGCUUGGGAACAAAUUUUAUUCAUCUAUGCAUUACUACCAAUCCCUGAGUGGAAGGCCUGGCUCUAUCUGUGCCUUUCAUUCACUGAAAGGAAAAUGGGGAUGAGCACGUGGGGGCAAGAAUCAUGCCUCAAGAGUUUGCUUAAAAUCAAGGGGAGCAGACUAAUACAACAGCUCAUAUUUAUCUUCCAUCUUUCCUAAAGGGAAACAUUAAUUGCUACAACUAGAAACUUUAUAACCACAAAUGUAAAAUAAAUACAUGAAGCGUAAGGACACAUUCUAUCAACAUUCUGUAAACACUUCUUGUAUAGGUACAAUGGAUGAACACCACAGCCAUGGUUGUCCCCGCACUCACAAAACUUACAGGCCAGUAAAAGAGGACAAUUAAAUGAACAAUACAAAAAAAAAAAAAAAAACGAUGGCCACUAAGUCUUAUGUUAGGCAGAGAAAUAGCAUCAUGAGAACACAAAGUAGAGAGAUUUAUUUGGCAUGCCUCUCUUAAGACUCUUUCUUAUCUCCUGAAUUAUAUGGCCACUGCCCAUUCUAAUUCCACCUACACCAAAUACACUGGGUUCAGCCAGCAAGAAGCCCUGUUCUGCAGGACAAGCCUGUACAUCAGACACAACAUCCUCUCCUCUUCCUCCCCAGACAACAGCACAGAGAACUGCCAAUCUACAGCCCAGACAUCCAUAUGUUGUUAAAAACAGCCAGACUCCCAAAGGUUGAUUAACUCACAAAUCCCUAAAUAUAUUCUCAGACCAUCAUACAAACCAAAAAGCAGUGAGUUUUCCCAAAUGCAUGGAAACAGAAGCAGAAAGCGAGCGAUUUAAUCAAGGCACCACAGAGAUUAAAGGUAGGCACCUACCUACCAGGCUAAUAAUGAGUGCUUGUCUCAUUUUGAUCUCUGUCUUAACCAACUAUAAAAAAUUCCUAUGAACUGAGAAGGAAUUUAUUUACACUCUCCUAUGAAAUUAAAAGGUACUAGAUUAACUGCAUCCACAACUGCUUAACUAUGAAGCCUAAGGAAGGGUUAAACUAUGAAGCUUCAGUAGGCGACCUACUGAAAUAAAUACAAGCCAGAUAAAAAAUAAGUAAGGCUCAACAACAUACACACAUCCCAAAGCAUCACACAGAACACAGACGCACAGAAAGGAUGGGCCUGCUUCCUCUCCAAACACUGUCAAGCUUGCUCUGACAAAUGAGAAGCCAAGCAGCCCAUCCCUGAACAGGAAGAAGGGGGAUGAAUACCAGAACAAGGAAACCCUUCCAUAAAGCGCGUUCAGAGCGUGUCUCCCUGUGUGUGCACAUCGACACGUUUAAUCUCUUAGGUGGUUACAAAUAAUACCAGCAAAUCAGAAGACCUGCUGAAAGGAAAAAGAAAGUAGUCUAACUUCAUAAUGACUGCACAAGUGAAUCUGGUAUAGUCAUACAAUAGGAUAUUACUUACUUAGCAAUAAAAAGGAAUGAACUAUUGACACAGACAACAGCAUGGAUGAAUCUCAAAAUAAUUAUGUGGAGUCCAAGAAGCCAGAAAGAGAGAAGAGUGCCUACUAUAUGAUUCUAUUUAGAUGAAUUUCUAGAAAACCCAAACUAAUCUAUAGUGACAAAAAGCUUAUCAGUGGUUGCCUGGGGAUGGAGGCCAGGGAGAGGCAGGAGGGAGACGGUACUGAAGGGCACAAGGAAACUGUUGGGGUGUCAGAUAUGUCUAUCAUCUUUAUUCUGGUAACAGCCUUAUGGGUGGAUACCUAUGUCAAAACACCAAAUUUUACACUUUUACUAUGUACAGCUUUGGUGUCACUUAUACCUCAAUAAAGCUGUUUAAAUUUUUUUUUAAUAAAAAUAAGUUCACAUUGACCACCACUGGGUUCAACUGAAAACCUUGCAAUGUGAUUGAGAUUACUUUCCCUCUCAGAAGGGUAUUUCAUUGAAGUUACAUAUCACACUUUGUGGACAAGCAAUUGUGGAAUGAAUACAGAUGUGGAAUACUGAAAUGUCUGUAUUUCUUCCCCAUUCAUCCUUUCAAUGGCUUAAAAGAAGCUAGAGCAUUUUAGAGAAAAUUCUCAUCACUUCAAGUUUCUUACAAAGGCUCUUAGAACUCGAUGAACAUCUAAUUUUUGGAAAGGAGGACCUUAAAGACCAUCCUGUCCAACUUUCUCAGUUUAAGGAAGUAAACUGCAGAGCCCACUCCCUAAUGGGGAGUUCAUCCAGUCCUAUAUGGCUCUGAAGUGAGCUCUAUGUUGCUGACACCUUCCUCUGUCAUUUUAGUCUUGACCUCUCUGAUGAACUUCAGACAUUUAUUCGGCUGUCCAUUAAACUAUCUCACUUGACUAUCUAAUGAGUAUCUAAAAUUUACUGUGGCCACAAGGGAACUGCUGAUUCCCCUCACCACCAACUUCUCCUCCAAGUUGACCCAUGUGAGUAACUGCACCAUCACACUUCAACCAAAACCUUGCAAUCAACCUCUGACUGCUCAUCUCCUGCCCUCCACAAGGAAUCCAUGCUUCAGUUCCUUAGCUCUAUCUUCAAAGCACAUCACAAAGCUGGCCCGGACUCUGUCUCCACGGCUGCGAUGGCUUCUUAUCUGGACAAUAGCUCUUUAAGGUCCCCAUUUCCUCUCCUGCCUCUACCAGUCAGUCCCUACACAGCAGCCACAGACAUGAGGCCACCAAUACCCAGACCCUAAAACAUUCUACAGACUGCCAUGAUUAAAAUAAAAUCUCCGCUCCUUACUCUGCCCUGAAAGACCAAGGCCCCUUCCACCUCUCCAGCCUCAUCUCGCACUGUUUCUCUCACUGGCUAUAUUCCAAUAUAUUGACCGUCUCCAACACACUCAACUCACUUCCACCCCAAAGCUGACACUUCCCCACCUCCACACAUGGAAUGCACACAGAUGUUUCACCAUUCACAACUCAAAUAACAUCUUCCAAAGCUUCACAGACCUUACAAUCUAAAGAAGCAUCCCCAAUCACUUGUCAUGGACCCCAUGUUACUGACUUUAUGGUAUUUUUCAUUAUAUAAAAUGAUCUUGUAAACAAUUUUACUUAUUUAUUAUAUUUGCUAAUAAAAUUUAUCUGUUCACUCAUUCAUUCCUGCUAUGACCAUCAGAAGCAUUAGCCCAAAUAAGAACUGUGAUCCUUUCCUAAUUUAACUUGAAAGCAUUCCUCUCCAAGUGCCUAGGUCUAUGGGGUAAAAGGCAUCCACCUGAGUUGAGUAAUGAGAACACAUAGACACAGGGAGGGGAAAAACACACACUGGGGCCAGUCAGGGGGUGGGGAGUGAGCGGAGAGAGAGCAUUAGGACAAAUAGCUAAUGCAUCGGAGCCUAAAACCUAAAUGACGGGUUGACAGGUGCAGCAAACUACCAUGGCACACGUAUACCUAUGUAACAAACCCGCACAUUCUGCACUUGUAUCCCAGAACUUACAGUAAAAUAAAAAUUAAAAAAGCACCCAUCUUAAAAAAAAAAGGUGGUGGGGGGAGGCAGGGGUCUAUUUUGAAUCCUUUUUUAAUUCCUAAGUGUGAUGACUGGGUUUCCACACUCAUGUGUGAGAUGUGCUUUCCUCAAACCUUUUUUACAACAUCAGCACACUACCUAUCUGUUAUUUAAAAAUAAAGGUCAAUUUCAACAGUGCUACUAAUUUUCAAGUCUUCAAAUUAUGCUUCUAAAGAACAAAAAAACUCCUCUACUGGCCUGCCUCAUUAUCAUCAGAUUUCCAUUAGAUACAAUGUCAGCUUAUCAACUUAUGGAUAUGUUGACUUGAUUUUGAAAUUAUACUGCUUCCCACUAAAAUAGUACACUUUUCAAGAAGGAUCAGGUCAAUAUAAAAAGUACUAACUUUUAAUGAUUAGAUUGGGAUCAGUGGUAUCUUGCCUUUGGGAUAUUUAACCAAUAAUCACUUACAUAAUACACUAUCUAAAUGAACCAAUUUAGGCAUUUUUAAUUUAUUUUUCUUUUUUAGAGUUUUAAAGUUUCCAGACAUUGCUACCAAAGAAAAUCGCAAUAGAUUAUUUUGCCUCAAUGUCACACAUGAUGAAUGAUUUUCUAGGAAAUCGUUAAAAUAAUCACUGGGAUGUGCAUUUUAUAAGGACCGUGAUUCUUAUCUGUUUUGUUCAUUGUAUCCCCCAGCACCUAGUCCCACCA
rnacentral:lncRNA from 1 species